UGGAUAACCUCGGGAAACUGAGAUUAAACCGCGAUAGGUCAAGAUUUCUGGAAUGGAUCCUGGCUUAAAUCUACAUGGCCCCUGGAUUGGACUGCGGUCGAUCAUGCUGUUGGUGAGGUAAUGGCCCACCAAACCUAUAACCGGUACGGGCUCUGAGAGGAGAAGCCCGGAGAUGGGGACUGAGACAAGGGCCCAGGCCCUAUGGGGCGCAGCAGGCGCGAAAACUCUGCAAUGGGCGAAAGCCUGACAGGGUGGACUCUGAGUGAUUUCCGCUAAGGAGAUCUUUUGGCAGCUCUAAAAAUGGUGCAGAAUAACGGGUGGGCAAGUCUGGUGUCAGCCGCCGUGGUAAUACCACCACCCCGAGUGGUCGGCACGAUUAUUGGGCCUAAAGCAUCCGUAGCCGGUUGUGCAACUCCUCCGUUAAAUCCAGCCGCUCAACGGAUGGGCUGCGGAGGAUACUACAGAACUAGGAGGCGGGAGAGGCAAGCGGCACUUAGUGGGUAGGGGAAAAAUCCUUUGAUCCACUGAAGA
rnacentral:rRNA from 1 species